rnacentral:rRNA from 1 species
CCUACGGGUGGCAGCAGUGAGGAAUAUUGGUCAAUGGGAGAGAUCCUGAACCAGCCAAGCCGCGUGAGGGAAGAUGGCCCUAUGGGUUGUAAACCUCUUUUGUCGGAGAACAAUACCCGGGACGUGUCCCGGACUGCGUGUAUCCGCAGAAAUAGCCUUGGCUUACUCCGGUCCAGCAGGCGCGGUAAUACCGAGGCGUCGAGGGUUAUCCGGAUUUAUUGGGUUUAAAGGGUGCGUAGGCGGACUGGUAAGUCAGCGGUAAAAUUGCGGGGCUCAACCCCGUCGCGCCGGUGAAACUGGCAGACUUGAGUGGGCGAGAAGUACGCGGAAUGCGCGGUGUAGCGGUGAAAUGCAUAGAUAUCGCGCAGAACUCCGAUUGCGAAGGCAGCGUACCGGCGCCAGACUGACGCUGAGGCACGAAAGCGUGGGGAUCGAACAGGAUUAGAUACCCUAGUAGUC